AAGCCAAAAGGAACAUAAGAACAGUUGAGUAUUUAUAUACAAUAAAAUGAUACAUAGAGCAUACAAUAAUAUGUUUUAUUUUGUGGACAUAUUGUUUGUGUUGAAGUUAGGCAUUUUCAAUCAUUUGCUAUUAUUUAUGCGAUCAAUGAAUUUUCAGCAACUUAGUAGAUAUAGUUCAAUCCGAUGUACAUAUAUGUAAAAAAAAA
rnacentral:lncRNA from 1 species